GGUACAUCGGUGACAGGUGGUGCAUUGGUUGUCGUCAGCUCGUGUCGUGAGAUGUUGGGUUAAGUCCCGCAACGAGCGCAACCCCUAUUGUUAGUUGCCAUCAUUCAGUUGGGCACUCUAGCGAGACUGCCGGUAAUAAACCGGAGGAAGGUGGGAUGACGUCAAAUCAUCAUGCCCCUUAUGACCUGGGCUACACACGUGCUACAAUGGUUGGUACAACGAGUUGCGAGUCGGUGACGGCGAGCUAAUCUCUUAAAGCCAAUCUCAGUUCGGAUUGUAGGCUGCAACUCGCCUACAUGAAGUCGGAAUCGCUAGUAAUCGCGGAUCAGCACGCCGCGGUGAAUACGUUCCCGGGCCUU
rnacentral:rRNA from 1 species